CCUAUGGGGUGCAGCAGUCGCGAAAACUUCACAAUGGGGGAAACCCCGAUGAGGGAAUUCCAAGUGCCAGCACAUUGUGUUGGCUGUUCUCUGGUCUAAAAAACCGGAGAAGUAAGGGCCGGGUAAGACGGGUGCCAGCCGCCGCGGUAAUACCCGCGGCCCAAGUGGUGGUCGAUAUUAUUGAGCCUAAAACGUCCGUAGCCGGUCUUGUAAAUCCUUGGGUAAAUCGACCAGCUCAACUGUUCGAAGUCCGGGGAGACUGCAAGACUUGGGAUCGGGAGAGGUGAGAGGUACUUCUGGGGUAGGGGUAAAAUCCUGUAAUCCUAGAAGGACCACCGGUGGCGAAGGCGUCUCACUAGAACGAAUCCGACGGUGAGGGACGAAGCCCUGGGGCGCAAACGGGAUUAGAUACCCCCGUAGUCC
rnacentral:rRNA from 1 species